CGGACGGGUGAGUAACACGUACGUGACCUGACCCCAAGUGGGGGAUACCUGCCCGAAAGGGUGGCUAAUACCGCAUGUGGUCACCGGGGGUGCCCGGUGAGUAAAGGGUUAUCGCAAGGUAACCCGCUUAGGGAGGGGCGUGCGGCCGAUUAGCUCGUUGGUGGGGUAACGGCCUACCAAGGCAGUGAUCGGUAGCUGGGCUGAGAGGCUGACCAGCCACACUGGGACUGAGAUACGGCCCAG
rnacentral:rRNA from 1 species